GGGGAAUAUUGGACAAUGGCCGCAAGGCUGAUCCAGCCAUCCAGCGUGCAGGAAGAAGGCCCUAUGGGUUGUAAACUGCUUUUGUCAGGGAAUAAACCUGUGGAUUUACUCCGCAGCUGAAGGUACCUGAAGAAUAAGCUCCGGCUAACUCCGUGCCAGCAGCCGCGGUAAUACGGAGGGUGCGAGCGUUAUCCGGAAUUACUGGGUUUAAAGGGUGCGUAGGCGGCGUAGUAAGUCAGGAGUGAAAGUUUGCGGCUCAACCGUAAAAUUGCUUUUGAUACUGCUAUGCUAGAAUUAGGAUGAGGUCAGCGGAAUGUGGCAUGUAGCGGUGAAAUGCAUAGAUAUGCCAUAGAACACCAAUUGCGAAGGCAGCUGGCUAGACCUGGAUUGACGCUGAGGCACGAAAGCGUGGGGAGCGA
rnacentral:rRNA from 1 species